rnacentral:lncRNA from 1 species
AAAAAUUUCAUUUUUCUCUCUCAUGGUCCUUAUCUUCUUCUUUAUCUUCCUCCUCUGUUUCUUUUUUUUUUUUACAGAAUCCCGACCAAAUUGUGGUGCCUUUGUGUUUUUGUUUUUGUCUUUGAAUAGUCUGGCUGUAUCGUGGUAAGUGGGAGAAGAACGAUGAACAAGAACGACAUCACUGUGUUUUGUUCCUGAACCUCCUUUUUUCACUGUUAGUCAAUCUAGUAGAGACAAUCGUGGCUCCGGCGGAGGGGAACCUUGCCUACUGUUAAGAAGAUGAGAGGACGACCUACUGGUUCUAGCAAAAGACAAAAGCUUCAAACCUUAUGAAACAUAAAUAAUUGUGUGUUGUUGUUGUUGGUUGAUUGUGUUGGUUGAUUGGAUGAUGAUUAGAACAGAAGAAGCCAUCUACUAAACUUCUUGCUGUCCCCGGAAAAGGAUUUUUCUUGGAUAUCUUUUUGGCGGACCAAGUGAUACUGAAUCGAGAGAAAACAAAAUUGUUAGCCGUUUAACAAUAGGUGUUUGUGGUAUUAAAUAUGUUAGCAAUUUUAAUAAAUUGUUAUACUUUAUUAAAUGUUUCGUGACUUUUGUUUGUUGGACAUGAGAUAUAAUGUUCGUAUAAUAGUUUUUUGUUCAUUUGAAAUGCAGAAUAAUUGUAGCUCAUAUUAGUUGUCUUG